UUGAGGCCACAAGAAAACAGAAUCAUUAGCACUAGAUGGAGGCCCUGCUGGGACCUUUCCAACCAUCAGCCACAGAGUGAUGAUGAGCUCGAGGUCACUGGGCCAAACUGCCUGGACCCCCAUCCUGGCUCUGCCUCUUGGAGCUGGUGACCCAGUGUAGGCUCUCUGACCUCUCGGUGCCUCCGCUUUCCCGCCUGUGAAAUGGACAUAAAAAAAUAAACCUAACGCAGAAGACUGUGGGGAGAAGUCACCCAGAGCAGCGCCAGCACACAGCGAGCUCUCGCACCCUUAGCACAGAGAAGAGGCCACAUGAGGACACAGUGAGAAGGCAGCUGUCUGCAAGCCAGAAAGAGAGGCCUCACCAGACACCAACCCUGCUGACAACUUGAUCUCAGAC